rnacentral:tRNA from 1 species
AAAAUUAUAGUUUAAUUUAAAACAUUUAAUUUGCAUUUAAAAGAUAUAUUUAUUAAUUUUA